rnacentral:rRNA from 1 species
GACGAACGCUGGCGGCGUGCCUAAUACAUGCAAGUAGAACGCUGAAGGAGGAGCUUGCUNUUCUGGAUGAGUUGCGAACGGGUGAGUAACGCGUAGGUAACCUGCCUGGUAGCGGGGGAUAACUAUUGGAAACGAUAGCUAAUACCGCAUAAGAGUAGAUGUUGCAUGACAUUUGCUUAAAAGGUGCAAUUGCAUCACUACCAGAUGGACCUGCGUUGUAUUAGUUAGUUGGUGAGGUAACGGCUCACCAAGGCGACGAUACAUAGCCGACCUGAGAGGGUGAUCGGCCACACUGGGACUGAGACACGGCCCAGACUCCUACGGGAGGCAGCAGUAGGGAAUCUUCGGCAAUGGACGGAAGUCUGACCGAGCAACGCCGCGUGAGUGAAGAAGGUUUUCGGAUCGUAAAGCUCUGUUGUAAGAGAAGAACGAGUGUGAGAGUGGAAAGUUCACACNGNGACGG